GUCGUAAAGAACUUUUCUGGAACUGGUGACUGAUUUAAGACAUUGGAAGAUCAUGAUAAGCUGCAUAUCUUCCAGUCACAUGAUGGUAAAUCUGUGAGGAAAAGCAGAGUUUAAUUAACAAUCAUUCUAUAAUUAUACACAUCAGUUAAUAAUUAUACUAUCAAAUAAUAAUAAAUAGUUUUAAUGAACAUUUCAUUAGAAAGCCUCACUAGUAUGUGCUUCAGCAGAAUCUCCACCCUACUCACUUCUGAUGGCGGUUUGCUUGGAAGAAAAGGUAGAGGAUUGGGUAGGAUGAGGUCAAUCAGAUGAGUUUUUAUCUCCAGUUCUCAAUUUGACUUUUCAAUUCCUUUCUCAAAAAACACUUGUUAAUUUAUUCCAAAGACAGAGAUGAUUACUCACCUGCCUCUCAAUGUCCGAGAGCAGAGUACUGGCACCUAUUCGAAAGAGUUCUGGCUUCAGCCACUCAUCUCCAAGCUCCUCCUUUACAAGAGAGAGCCAAGCAAGGGAAUCCUUUGCACUGCGGAUGCCUCCUGCUGGUUUAAACCCUAUCUAAAUGGGAAGGCAGAGAAUAGAACAAUCUUUAUUGUUAUUGGAUUUCUUUUAAAAAUAGUACUAUGUUUAUCAGAGUCUUGAUUCUCUCUCUCCCUCUUUUGUUGAAAAAAAAUCUUUUCACUUCAUCCAGUGAAAGGGCUUAGAUCAGUGACUCAUGCUCAUUCACACUACAAAACAACUUUUCCAAGAUUUUUGGAAGAAUGUCACUACUUCCAAACAGACACUAGUGAGGGUUAAUAACCCUCAUUAACAUUUCACUUAUUGGAAAGUCAUAAACCUCCACCAUCUAGACUAUAGCUGUGAACCUGGAAUAAACAAGGAAGGUGUCAAUAAAUAGGAAAACAGAUCACAAAAGCAAAGCCCACUCAUUCUACAUUUCCACAAGUAAGCCUGUAGAGUCACUUCUCAGCCUUCAUCUUGAGGUUCAAAAGACACGUGCAUUUAAAAUCAAAGGACAGAAUCAGCAAGGCUGCAAGGUUACCCUAACCAAACUGGCAGCAAAAAAGCAAGGAAAGUUGACAGUUGUUUUAACCAAUUUAACUGUGGGAUUUUUUUUCUAAGUUGCAGGCACACACAGUUCUAAAAAGCUGGCAGACCAGUUACAUAAGGGCAGUAGAAAAACACCGUGAGGGGCUCCUCAUAGUCCAGUAGUCUUUAAGGUUGAUCAUAACACAGCUGAAUUCAGCCAAUAUCUGAUAUUCGUAAAUGAUGUCCCUGGAUCCAUUAGGAAAUGAAAGAUAUGUUCCAUAUACAAUAAAACUCUGAUUAUCUGGAUUUACAUGUUUCAGGAACCUGACUAUCCAGUAGAGUUGGGAAUCUGUAGAUGGUAGUGGUCAAAACAACACCUCAGAGCCUGAGUACUAAAUCUCUCACGUUUUAUCACUCAGGGCUAUGACUGGUUGCACCAGCAGAUGACUGCUAACAGAAUGCUAGAGAAGGGAGACAUUAAAUGAAUAUAUUCUAUUAUCAACCCAAGCAGGAAACCUUAUAGUUUAAUCCAAACUCCACCAUUCCCUGGCCACACCACACCCAAUCAAUAUUUAAGUCCUGACAAUUCUACCUCCUUACCUUCCUUACCCCCUCACAUGCACUCUUUCCACUGCACUCUCACUUGUUUCAGUUUAGACCCUUAUCAAUUCUCACAGGAAAUAUCAGUAAAAGUCUUUUAACUGGUUUCCCUGCCUCAAUUACACAACGUCACACAACUAAGCAGUAGCAGUGCACGGAUUCCAACCAUAUCUGCUAUUACUCUGGAGCCCAAGCUGUAAGGUAGUAGGGGGUUAAGUAGGAUGAGGUUAUUUGUUGAGAAUAAGCCAAAAAAAUCAAUUAGUUGAUAUUAGCAUACAUGUUAAUCAUAGGACCAUUUUUGUCAAUUAGGCAGUGCUUCUUACAGAUUUCCUAUACAGUUCAGUUUGUGUCAGCAAGUCUGUUUCCAGAGAGGUUCUAACAUAAGUUUAUCUUUUUUUUUUUUAAAGAGAAUAUGGAAGACAUAAAUCUGCAAUGAAAUCAGUUAUGAAAUAUUAAACCUCUGCUUCUCAGGAGUGACACUAAUCAUGGUCUGGAAGCUAGCCUAUCGCAUUUUAAAACACCCUUAAAUCAAUGACGUAGAAACUUUAUAGUCUAAGGGCUGCCCAAGCAACUUGUCAAGCAACCCGAAAGGCUGCACCUGAUUUGCAAACACAUACACAGAACCUAUUUGUUUGAAAUCGAAUAUGAUUAAAUGAAUACAAUUUGGCUUGUACCUGUCUUUUUCUUAAUAAAACUAGGAUGGACUUAUUUAUUACCGAGGAAAAGAAUCAAUACAAUUAAAAAGAAAGGACUGAAAGACAGCAAAGUGUCCCUCCCUCUGUACUCUGGCCUGGAACACUGAGCACUUAAAAAUUUCAUUGACAUUCUUUGCUUGUUGUCUAAGAGCUCUCCUGAGAAGGAACAUACUCAUUUUUCCAUUCCUAGCAUUUAACACAGGUUAACAUGGCACAUGGUUAACUACCCAAUAAAUGUUUGUUGAGAACAAAACAGGACUGGGUCCCCAAUGGCAGGUCUGAACCCUGGCAAUGGAACUUAAUGCAAACAGAUGCCUGAAGACUAUGCCAGACCCAAAACCACCAGGGAUGGGGGCCCAGGCAUCUGUAAGUAUGAAAAGCUUCACAUUUGGUUUUGAUAUUCUUUGGCUAAGAAUGAGAAUCACAAUCAAAUGAGUGGUGGUAGUUUCAACUGAGGACCAAAGAUAGAUUUAUCAUUUUUACAGCUUAUCUAAACAAAAACUCUUUUAACUUAUUUGGAUUGUUGCAGAAAGGAUACCAGGUAGAGGUUAUUCGAGUUGGGUCAGCUUUCUCAUGUAGUUCACAAUAGAUAUUUAUCCUAUUCGUAAUUAAGAUGUGAAGUUAUUUUAAGUGAGAAAAUUCUGGAAGGAGUUUAUUUCCUCUCAUAAAACAGUAUAUUAAAAAAAAGGUCACUAUUCCAAAAUAAACUGAAGCUACACUUACAUAUAAAGUCAUCACAUCCAAUGGACAAAGGAUUAAAGGUCUUUUUUGGGUUUCUAUUUGGCACAAAUCAAGAGACUGGAUUUAAAAGAUGCCUCUCAGGAAGGGAAAGUGUCAUUAAACACACACACACACACACACACACACACACACACACACACACAACCUUGCUCUCCAAUCAUGUAAAAAAAAAAAUCCUUUGAGAUAAUUUGCAGCUAAACAAGUAACUUGAGAUGAAAAGGAAAAUCCAAACUCAUUUUUAAAAAAGCAACUCAUACGCAUUUUUCCUUUUAACUUCAUAUGUUUCAAAAAAUAUGUAUCAUUUUUCGAAAAGCUGACAAAAACUAGUAUACACCCUCCUCAGCUUAACAGUCUUCCAAAGAGCACAUCCAACUUCCAUAAAACGCAAAAAUUGAUAUUUAAUUCAAGAGCUAUAUAACGUCUAGCUACCUUUUCCCUGCUGUUUCACAGCAUUUCAUUAUUUUGUUUAAUAAGUUCAUCUCCUCGAGAAUUUUCUCUUCACCUCAUAUUAUUAAAAGUAAUAAGUUUUUCUGGACCGGGGGUUUCCCAACAGAAAAACCAAUUUAUGUGUGUCCUUCAAUAAUGACAGGAAAAGAUUGUUUCCCAUUAUAUUGCAUACCUUUCAUAUCACCACCACAGCUUAUCAUUCAAUAAAUGUUACUCUGCAAUUCUUUCCAUUCCUCAAGGAAGUUUAAUUUCUGCAUUAACCUGUUUUCACUGGCCAACACCUUGUGAGAAAGCCUCUGUGUUGCAGCAGAAUUAGUUCGUUAAAG
rnacentral:lncRNA from 1 species